rnacentral:rRNA from 1 species
GACGAACGCUGGCGGCGUGCUUAACACAUGCAAGUCGAACGGUGAAGCUCCAGCUUGCUGGAGUGGAUCAGUGGCGAACGGGUGAGUAGCACGUGAGCAACCUGCCCCUGACUCUGGAAUAAGCGCUGGAAACGGCGUCUAAUACUGGAUACGAGAAGGGUCCGCAUGGGCACUUUCUGGAAAGUUUUUCGGUUGGGGAUGGGCUCGCGGCCUAUCAGCUUGUUGGUGAGGUAAUGGCUCACCAAGGCGACGACGGGUAGCCGGCCUGAGAGGGCGACCGGCCACACUGGGACUGAGACACGGCCCAGACUCCUACGGGAGGCAGCAGUGGGGAAUAUUGCACAAUGGGCGAAAGCCUGAUGCAGCGACGCCGCGUGAGGGAUGACGGCCUUCGGGUUGUAAACCUCUUUCAGCAGGGAAGAAGCGAAAGUGACGGUACCUGCAGAAGAAGCACCGGCUAACUACGUG